CAAUUGUUAAUUUAAAUUAAAAUAUUAGUUUUGGAUACUAAAAAUUUCUUAAUAUUUA
rnacentral:tRNA from 1 species